UCUCUCCGUCUGUCUCUCCCUCCCUCAGCUUCACUCGCUCUUGUGCUGUAAGUUCAUUUGCUGUGUCAAGCAACAACUGGCUCGGGAGUGGGCAGUGGGUUUUGAUCCUUUUGUCAAGCGUCCCCCCUGCGAGCAUGUACCGCGUCCACCUGCACACCACGGGACUGGUCGCCUGGCUCUCUCUAACAUCGCCGUACCGUCCUGGGUUUAUCACGAUCAGGCAUCCCACCUUGCUGAGAUGGGCGGCACGAUGAGAUGCUGAAGGUUUGACGGGGCGAACCCGCUACUGUGGACUAUCAUCAUCAUCAGAAUCAUCGCAGUGGCAAUGGGAGUCAGGACAUGGAUGCUAGCCGGAGGACCUCCGCGGGGGUCCUUGCAUCCCAGAAUUGUUCAUGCCGUUGAUUUCGAACCGUUAUUUGGCUAUCCUUGGAUCCUCAAACAGCCCAGCAAGAGCUUGUGCCUCCAUCCUAAAGACUUUAAGGCUUCCAGCUGUCAUUACUUUCUCUAAAACCAAGCAAUGGACCAUUGUGAGCCAAGCCAGCACUAACCGGUAUUUUCAGACAGGGGAAGCUCUGAGUAGCCACCAAACAAGGGUAAAACCUUUCCAAAAACACAGGGGAUAUUCUUAUUUUGAAUUCAAUCCUAAAUCUAUUGUUUGAUCUAAUUAUUCUGCCUCUAAGGCCCUUUUAUCCCGGCACGGCUGAUGAAACCGAAGCGAAAGAGGAGGCAGAGUGUGUCUCCUGGUUGUUGAGACAUGCUAGGACAUCCAUAGCACAGAAAGAGAGAGCGAGAUAAAGAGCAAGAGAUAGAAAGAAAGCGAAUAAAAGAGUACUGAGUGAUUCAGUCACGUACAGCCCAGGCAUUAUCUAGCCAACAAUAAAAGAUUACAUCAUAUCAGCUGGCAUAAUUUCUUCAAGGUCUUUUAUUGAUUCUUUGAAUGGCGAGUGAAGCUGUUGAAAGUGUACAAAAGAAAGCCAUUGUAUUUACGGGAUCACAUCAGGAUUUUAUAGGCACACAGAAAUGAUUUGACGAUUCCGCUUUCAUUCGGAGGAUGAUCACAACUUUCAUGUGGCUUUGUAACAGGUACACAACCCUCCAAUUAUGUUUAAUUCCUCUUUGUAUGCAAGAUGAGCCAGCACUCCUAAACUGAGAACAAACUAGUGAGAAAAUACAUUACAGUUUAUUAUACUCUCAUCUGUCGCUGU